UAUUGUUUUUCUAAAGUUACGCAUUUUCAGGAUCGUGAGAUUGUGUUCAAUAAUGAAUUAUCAUGUUUUUUGUGUAUUGGCACUACAAUACGUAUAUUUGAUUACUGUUUUCAUUGGUGAAAAUAGUCUUGGCGAUGUGGCGACACGAAAACAAGCAACCAUUAACUGUACGGCAAAGUGCAAAGGAACAAACUGUCAUGCAAAU